rnacentral:lncRNA from 1 species
CCGAAAAAUAAAAUAAAAUAAAUGAUAAAAAAGAAAACUUUAAAAAAUAAAAUAAAAUAAAGUAAAUAAAAUUAAAAAGUAAAACUAAAAAGAGUUCACUUAGGGGCCGUUUGGUUGCAUAUAAUUGCAACUGCAUUGCAGUUGUAACUGUAUGUAAAUACAAAUUUCGUGUUUUGUUUGAUGUAUUUAACUCCAACUGCUGCAGUAGGAACUGCAGGAGGAGGCCCAACUGCAGCAGUUCGAACUACGCCCAAAUUGGCCGUAGUUCCAACUACAGCAGUUGGAGAGAGCAACUUUAAAUAAAAGGUGUACUUACCUCCUCAAUUUUUUCAAACAAAAAUUAUUAUUUUUUUUUACAUUGGAGGUAAUCUCACCAUCAUAUAUAUAAAAUAAUAAAAUUUUAAAAAUUAUUUCUCAACUGCAUGCAACCAAACAAAUUAUUUAUACUUGCAACGCUUUCUACUACAGCCAACCAAACAAGAUUCAUAUAAUUAUAACUGCUGUAUUUCCAAGUGCAUGCAUCUCUAACUACACUAUAUUUAUAAUUACAUUUAACCAAACAACCCCUUAGAGCUGCAAAUGAGUAUAAUAUAUGGUAAGAAUCAUUUUUUUGAGA